UCCAGAGGACGCCCUGACUACACACUUGGACCACCUGCGGGGAAGCAGGUUGGGAGGGGCCGAAACUGAGGAGGAAAAUGGCCAAUUGCUGCAAGAAGAGUUGAGGAGGCAGUCAGUUCCAGACAUGACAGAAGCGGUAGACACUGAGGAGUCACUGCAAGGUUUGUGGUCAAGAGUGAUGUGGUCAGACUUUUGCCUUAGGCAGACCAAUCUGGCAGCUGUGUGGAGGAUGGAGUGGAUGUAGGGGCACCAACUGGCAAUGGGAAGGAAAUACCAACUCCUGAUAACUCAAGAUUGAAGAGGAGGGUGGGGAAUGAUUGAAGAGUCAAGUUACCAGAAGGAGAUGAAAGGGAAUAAAUCGAGGGUACAAAAGUAGAGGUCAUGGCAGGCUAAACUCCUUGAGAAGGCUAUUUGUGACCCAAUACCAGCACACUUUGACUAUUCAUGCAAACUGUAAAGGCUUACAAGGGGAUAGAGGCAACAGGUUCCAGCGAACAUCACAGGAACCCUAACUCUGAGCCGGAUGCUGAGGUAUUUGGCUUUGUGGACUUUUCCCAAUACCAUAGGAGUAGAAGGAUAGGUUGAAGCUGAAACUCAGCAAGAGGUCAGGAAUGUCCUCAUUGCAUGAGUAGGAUGUGGGAUGUACUUGAAGUUCAACCCACAGAAUCCAGCUCACUGAUUUCCAACCAUUCAGAGAAAGAUCUAAGUCUAUUACUCUAUGAUUAAAGAUCUCAGAAACCAACUCAAAGAAAUGCUGAUUAAUGUUAUCAUCACAGAAUACAGCAGCCCUUAUGCAUCCCUCAUAGGAGUAAUGCCUAAGAAGAAUGGAAAGAUGCUGUGGUGUGUUGAUGACUGAACUUUUAACAAAAGGACUAAUGUGGAUCAGUUCAUUAUGCCACAGGUACAAGAUGCACUGGAUUGUCUGCUAAACUUCCAGUGGUUUUCACUUUUGGACUUCAUAAUGGAUACAACCAGAUUCCCAUGUCUGAGGAAGACAAGGAAAAGACUGCUUUCAUUUGUCCCGCUGGAUUUUAUCGGUGUGGGUAAACACCCCAAGGCAUCUCAGAUGCACCAGACAUUUUCCGAAGGCUGACAGAGAAAGUGGCUGGAGACAUCAACUAACUGGAAAAGUAACAAGUGUACUUUGAUGAUAUCAUUGACUUUAAGACAUUGGAGGACAUGAGGAGAGACUGAUGAAAUGUUAAAUUGGCCAGAGAAAGUUAGUCUGAACCUGUCAAUUGAUAAAUGCUAAUUUUGCAAAGCUUCUGCAAACUAUGUAUUUGGCCACAUUGUUUCCCAGUAAGAUGUGAGCACUGAUCCAGAAAAGGUAAAAGCAUUUCUCAGGUGGCCAUGCCCACAAGAUGUUAGAGACAACUUUUCUGGGAUUUCGUGGUUAUUAUCACAAUUUUUUUAAAAGAACUACGCUGCACCAGCAUUUCUAUAUAUCACCAACAAAUUCCAGCAGCA